rnacentral:rRNA from 1 species
GACGAACGCUGGCGGCGUGCUUAACACAUGCAAGUCGAACGGUAAGGCUCCAGCUUGCUGGGGUACACGAGUGGCGAACGGGUGAGUAACACGUGGGUGACCUGCCCUGCACUUCGGGAUAAGCCUGGGAAACUGGGUCUAAUACCGGAUAGGACUGCACCGUGAGGGUGUGGUGGAAAGUUUUUUCGGUGUGGGAUGGGCCCGCGGCCUAUCAGCUUGUUGGUGGGGUAAUGGCCUACCAAGGCGGCGACGGGUAGCCGGCCUGAGAGGGUGGACGGCCACAUUGGGACUGAGACACGGCCCAGACUCCUACGGGAGGCAGCAGUGGGGAAUAUUGCACAAUGGGCGGAAGCCUGAUGCAGCGACGCCGCGUGGGGGAUGACGGCCUUCGGGUUGUAAACUCCUUUCACCAUCGACGAAGGGUUUCUGACGGUAGAUGGAGAAGAAGCACCGGCUAACUACGUGCCAGCAGCCGCGGUAAUACGUAGGGUGCGAGCGUUGUCCGGAAUUACUGGGCGUAAAGAGCUCGUAGGUGGUUUGUCGCGUCGUCUGUGAAAUUCCGGGGCUUAACUCCGGGCGUGCAGGCGAUACGGGCAUAACUUGAGUACUGUAGGGGAGACUGGAAUUCCUGGUGUAGCGGUGAAAUGCGCAGAUAUCAGGAGGAACACCGGUGGCGAAGGCGGGUCUCUGGGCAGUAACUGACGCUGAGGAGCGAAAGCAUGGGGAGCGAACAGGAUUAGAUACCCUGGUAGUCCAUGCCGUAAACGGUGGGCGUUAGGUGUGGGUUUCCUUCCACGGGAUCCGUGCCGUAGCUAACGCAUUAAGCGCCCCGCCUGGGGAGUACGGCCGCAAGGCUAAAACUCAAAGGAAUUGACGGGGGCCCGCACAAGCGGCGGAGCAUGUGGAUUAAUUCGAUGCAACGCGAAGAACCUUACCUGGGCUUGACAUAUACAGGAUCGCGCCAGAGAUGGUGUUUCCCUUGUGGCUUGUAUACAGGUGGUGCAUGGUUGUCGUCAGCUCGUGUCGUGAGAUGUUGGGUUAAGUCCCGCAACGAGCGCAACCCUUGUCUUAUGUUGCCAGCACGUUGUGGUGGGGACUCGUAAGAAACUGCCGGGGUUAACUCGGAGGAAGGUGGGGAUGACGUCAAAUCAUCAUGCCCCUUAUGUCCAGGGCUUCACACAUGCUACAAUGGUCGGUACAGUGGGUUGCCAGUCCGUGAGGGCGAGCUAAUCCCGCAAAGCCGGUCUCAGUUCGGAUCGGGGUCUGCAACUCGACCCCGUGAAGUCGGAGUCGCUAGUAAUCGCAGAUCAGCAACGCUGCGGUGAAUACGUUCCCGGGCCU